GGGGAAUAUUGGACAAUGGGCGCAAGCCUGAUCCAGCCAUGCCGCGUGAGUGAUGAAGGCCCUAGGGUUGUAAAGCUCUUUCAACGGUGAAGAUAAUGACGGUAACCGUAGAAGAAGCCCCGGCUAACUUCGUGCCAGCAGCCGCGGUAAUACGAAGGGGGCUAGCGUUGUUCGGAAUUACUGGGCGUAAAGCGCACGUAGGCGGAUUGGUCAGUUAGGGGUGAAAUCCCAGGGCUCAACCCUGGAACUGCCUUUAAUACUGCCGGUCUAGAGUCCGAGAGAGGUGAGUGGAAUUCCGAGUGUAGAGGUGAAAUUCGUAGAUAUUCGGAGGAACACCAGUGGCGAAGGCGGCUCACUGGCUCGGUACUGACGCUGAGGUGCGAAAGCGUGGGGGGCAAAC
rnacentral:rRNA from 1 species